GGACAAUAAAAAUUUCUUUGUGCAAUGACUAAAGUAAUGCAAAGCUGAGCCACAAACUAUGUUAGGGAUUGAUUCUUCUUUGGCUGAGAUCAUUUUGUCUCCACUCAACGGGACACUUUGACUGACACAAUGCCCUUGGAAGAGGAUGCCUGUUCCUUUCAUUUAGUGCAGGCUAACCUGGGACAGACGCCUUGAAGAACAAAAGAAAGGAGCAGUGCUAACAGAGAUGUUGUGGUCCUGGGGAAGGAUAUAGGAUAAAGGAGCACCAGUGUUGCUGGAUUAUAGCACACAUUAAUUCAAAGUGACCUCAUCUUAAUGUAUUAUAUCAGCAAAGACCUUAUUACCAGUCUGCUUCCUGGAGUUGUAGCCCUGACCUCUGAAAGCAGACCACUUCCUCUUCAUCUUGGCCAUGGGUACUUGAGAGGAGCAACCGAGUCCCUCAUUCCUUAUCUAGCCAAGUGAUCACACUUCUGAAAAUCAAUUCUGCACUGAGGUGCCAUCUUCAGAAAAGGCUUAUUUUUUAACCCCAAAGGGACACAUUUAGGAAGGCAGCCUCUCUUCUGCACUGAGAACUAUGGAGAACACAGCUGAAUCCUCCACCCUGGGGCAGCCAGCCACAUCCUGGAUCUGGGACCAAGACUGUGAUUCAAACAACUAUACAUUGUCCACAUUGCCUUUGCCCCAGUUUCACUUUGUAAUUUCUGCGAAUUCAAGAUGGAGAGUCCAAUUUAAGAAAAUGCAUGGUCCCAAGGCUCCCACACGUGCAGCAGGACUCAUCUCGACCUUUUUGUGAUUCUGAAGAUGUGGAGUCCACAUGGAAGCAUCACAUGGACUCAUAAUUAUUGAUCCCUGGGGACUCAGACUAUUUCAGCAGGAAUAAAAGACAAUGGAUAUGGUGUGGGCAACUGUGUCGUUUUAAUGAAACUCACACUUCCAGCACAGAAUGAAGAAAGCCCAGACUCAAAGACAUUCAGGACAAGCUUCUUUUCACAUGUCCCAGCAUGCCUGUGUACACUGGUUCAUGUUUACUCCUUACUGAGCGGGAGGGUAGGAGUUUGCUGCUGUUAUUAGACAACAUGGGGACCAGCAGAGACUAGCUGAACUUGGAUAUUCUCACUGCUCAUGAAAGCGAGAGUCAGAGACAAUCCAAGA
rnacentral:lncRNA from 1 species